rnacentral:rRNA from 1 species
GAUGAACGCUGGCGGCGUGCCUAAUACAUGCAAGUCGAGCGAAGCGGGGACGGGUGAGUAACACGUGGAUAACCUCCUAUAAGACUGGGAUAACUUCGGGAAACCGGAGCUAAACCGGAUACUUAUAGAUGGAUCCGCGCUGCAUUAGCUAGUUGGUAAGGUAACGGCUUACCAAGGCAACGAUGCAUAGCCGACCUGAGCGGGUUGUCGGCCACACGGGGACGGGGCCACGGUCCAGACUCCAAGGGGAGGCAGAGGUGGGGAAUCUUCCGCAAGGGGGAAAAGCUUGAGGGAGCAACCCCGUGGGAGUGUGGAAUGUCUUCGGAUCGUAAAACUCUGUUAUUAGGGAAUUGGUACCUAACCAGAAAUCCACGGCUAACUACGGGCCAGCAGCCCCGUUAAUAC